GGGAUACCCGAGGGAAACUUCGGUUAAUACGGUAUAAGACCACACUACCGCAUGGUAGAGGGGUAAAAGGGGCAACCUGGUAUGAGAUGGACUCGCGUCGCAUUAGCUAGUUGGUGAGGUAACGGCCCACCAAGGCGACGAUGCGUAGCCGACCUGAGAGGGUGAUCGGCCACAUUGGGACUGAGAUACGGCCCAGACUCCUACGGGAGGCAGCAGUGGGGAAUAUUGGGCAAUGGAGGAAACUCUGACCCAGCAAUGCCGCGUGAAUGAAGAAGGUCUUCGGAUUGUAAAGUUCUUUAGUCAGGGAAGAAGUCAAUGACGGUACCUGAAGAAUAAGCUCCGGCUAACUACGUGCCAGCAGCCGCGGUAAUACGUAGGGAGCAAGCGUUGUUCGGAAUGACUGGGCGUAAAGGGUGCGUAGGCGGUUGUACAAGUUAGAAGUGAAAUACCCAGGGCUUAACUCGGGUGCUGCUUCUAAAACUGUAUGACUUGAGUGCAGCAGAGGUUAGUGGAAUUCCUAGUGUAGCGGUGGAAUGCGUAGAUAUUAGGAGGAACACCAGAGGCGAAGGCGGCUAACUGGACUGCAACUGACGCUGAGGCACGAAAGUGUGGGGAGCAAACAGGAUUAGAUACCCUGGUAGUCCACACUGUAAACGAUGGAUACUAGAUGUAGGAGGUAUCGACUCCUUCUGCGUCGCAG
rnacentral:rRNA from 1 species